AUUGAACGCUGGCGGCAGGCUUAACACAUGCAAGUCGAACGAGUGGCGGACGGGUGAGUAAUGUAUGGGAAUCUGCCUAAUAGCGGGGGAUAACUACGGGAAACUGUGGCUAAUACCGCGUACCAUAGGAGGAGCCCAAGUGGGAUUAGGUAGUUGGUGGGGUAAAGGCUCACCAAGCAACGAUCCGUAGCUGGUCUGAGAGGACGACCAGCCACACUGGGACUGAGACACGGCCCAGACUCCUACGGGAGGCAGCAGUGGGGAAUUUUGCGCAAUGGGGGAAACCCUGACCCAGCCAUGCCGCGUGAAUGAAGAAGGCCUUCGGGUUGUAAAGUACUUUUGGUAGAGAGGCGGUAUCUGCAGAAGAAGCACCGGCUAACUACGUGCCAGCAGCCGCGGUAAUUC
rnacentral:rRNA from 1 species